rnacentral:lncRNA from 1 species
UUCUCUCUUUGUCCUGCUCUGCCACACACCGAACCCUGUCAAGUUUCUAGCUGAUCCGGAGGGAGAUGCCGGUCCUGCCAGCUCCAGCAUCCAACUGCUCUUCCCAGAGCCCAGGAGCUGCUGUAACCAUAGAAACCGCAUCCAACGCGCAGGCUCCGCUGGGGGGGCACAAAAGGAUGCUGAGACGCACACAAGGGGCAGGCUCCCUUUGACUUCCUGAACUGGGGAGCGAACACAAUCACUCCCAGCUCCAAAAAAGAGCCAGAGAUUGCAGGAUACACACAAACCCCAUGAGCCACCAGGAGCAGGGCCCAGCCAGGCUGGCAUCCAGGCGGACACACUUGAGUGGAUCACAGAUCGCCAGGAGAUAGCGGCACCCAGGGAGCACUCAGAGACGGGCCAGCCCUCCCACAGCUCAGCGUCCCACCAGCCUGGCUCUGCCAAAAAUCAGAGCCCUUGAGGUACGGUGCUGAGCUGCUCCAUCAUCUCUCACCCAGGCUCUGCUUGACACACAGCCACCUCCACCCGCAGCUGAAACUUUCCAACAGGUCAACAAUGGUGUUGCUUUUGAAAGUCCCAGGAGUUUCUUUCCCCCUGAAAGAUGCAAGCAAAGGGUUGAAACAAUGCCCUUCCUCACGCAGCAUCCUCAGCGAGCUUCAAACACCACCCAAGGAAAAAGCUAG